rnacentral:misc_RNA from 1 species
GAUGAAGAACGUAGCGAAAUGCGAUAAUUAAUGUGAAUUGCAGAAUUCCGUGAAUCAUCGAGUCUUUGAACGCGCAUUGCGCCUCAUGGCAUUCCGUGAGGCAUGCCCAUCUCAGCGUUAGAAAAUAUUCUCAAAUUUUAGUUUUGUGCUAAAAUUUGGAUCAUGUCAAGGAAGCUAUUACUAUUAUUGUGAUCGCUCUUUGGAAAUUGAUAGGUCUUUGAGUUGCUACUCAUAGAACGUGAUGAAUCUUUCUUCGUUCUAUUGUCAUUCACUCUGGUAGUCCUAAAACUUGUAUGCCUGUGGCAUAUCUUGUAAUUUGACCUGAGAUUGGGUAGGGAUACCCGCUGAACUUAAGCAUAUCAAUAAGCGGAGGA